AUGUAUUCCGCGGACAGGCGGUUCUUGCGCGCCGCCCACGCCCGCCCGACGACGCUCGUUGCGUUUGUGGGAC
rnacentral:sRNA from 1 species